GACGAACGCUGGCGGCGUGCCUAAUACAUGCAAGUUGAGCGCUGAAGGUUGGUACUUGUACCAACUGGAUGAGCAGCGAACGGGUGAGUAACGCGUGGGGAAUCUGCCUUUGAGCGGGGGACAACAUUUGGAAACGAAUGCUAAUACCGCAUAAAAACUUUAAACACAAGUUUUAAGUUUGAAAGAUGCAAUUACAUCACUCAAAGAUGAUCCCGCGUUGUAUUAGCUAGUUGGUGAGGUAAAGGCUCACCAAGGCGAUGAUACAUAGCCGACCUGAGAGGGUGAUCGGCCACAUUGGGACUGGGACACGGCCCAAACUCCUACGGGAGGCAGCAGUAGGGAAUCUUCGGCAAUGGACGAAAGUCUGACCGAGCAACGCCGCGUGAGUGAAGAAGGUUUUCGGAUCGUAAAACUCUGUUGGUAGAGAAGAACGUUGGUGAGAGUGGAAAGCUCAUCAAGUGACGGUAACUACCCAGAAAGGGACGGCUAACUACGUG
rnacentral:rRNA from 1 species